GGAAUCUUCCGCAAUGGGCGAAAGCCUGACGGAGCAACGCCGCGUGAGUGAUGAAGGUUUUCGGAUCGUAAAGCUCUGUUGCCAGGGAAGAACGUCUUGUAGAGUAACUGCUACAAGAGUGACGGUUCCUGAGAAGAAAGCCCCGGCUAACUACGUGCCAGCAGCCGCGGUAAUACGUAGGGGGCAAGCGUUGUCCGGAAUUAUUGGGCGUAAAGCGCGCGCAGGCGGCUCUUUAAGUCUGGUGUUUAAUCCCGAGGCUCAACUUCGGGUCGCACUGGAAACUGGAGAGCUUGAGUGCAGAAGAGGAGAGUGGAAUUCCACGUGUAGCGGUGAAAUGCGUAGAGAUGUGGAGGAACACCAGUGGCGAAGGCGACUCUCUGGGCUGUAACUGACGCUGAGGCGCGAAAGCGUGGGGAGCAAACAGGA
rnacentral:misc_RNA from 1 species